CCUACGGGUGGCUGCAGUGGGGAAUAUUGCGCAAUGGGGGGAACCCUGACGCAGCGACGCCGCGUGAGCGACGAAGGCCUUCGGGUCGUAAAGCUCUGUUCUUGGGGACGAAUAAAAUGACGGUACCCAAGAAGAAAGCCCCGGCUAACUACGUGCCAGCAGCCGCGGUAAUACGUAGGGGGCAAGCGUUGUCCGGAAUUACUGGGCGUAAAGGGCGUGUAGGCGGCCAUGUAUGUCAGGUGUGAAAGGCCUCGGCUUAACCGAGGCAUUGCACAUGAAACUGCAUGGCUUGAGUGCAGGAGAGGGAAGUGGAAUUCCUAGUGUAGCGGUGAAAUGCGUAGAUAUUAGGAGGAACACCAGUGGCGAAGGCGACUUCCUGGACUGUAACUGACGCUGAGGCGCGAAAGCGUGGGUAGCAAACAGGCUUAGAUACCCUGGUAGUC
rnacentral:rRNA from 2 species